UACGUAGGGUGCGAGCGUUAAUCGGAAUUACUGGGCGUAAAGCGUGCGCAGGCGGUUCUCCAAGUCCGUUGUGAAAGCCCCGGGCUCAACCUGGGAAUGGCAGUGGAAACUAGGGUACUUGAAUCUGGCAGAGGGGGGUGGAAUUCCACGUGUAGCAGUGAAAUGCGUAGAGAUGUGGAGGAACACCGAUGGCGAAGGCAGCCCCCUGGGCUGAGAUUGACGCUCAGGCACGAAAGCGUGGGGAGCAAACAGG
rnacentral:rRNA from 1 species